UACGUAGGGUGCGAGCGUUAAUCGGAAUUACUGGGCGUAAAGCGUGCGCAGGCGGUUUUGUAAGCCAGAUGUGAAAUCCCCCGAGCUUAACUUGGGAACUGCAUUUGGGACUGCAAGGCUAGAGUACGGCAGAGGGGGGUAGAAUUCCUGGUGUAGCAGUGAAAUGCGUAGAUAUCAGGAGGAAUACCGAUGGCGAAGGCAGCCCCCUGGGUCGAUACUGACGCUCAUGCACGAAAGCGUGGGGAGCAAACAGG
rnacentral:rRNA from 1 species